AAUGGCUGCAGUAAUAUAACUGUACAAAGGUAGCAUAAUCAUUAGUUUUUUAAUUAAAAGCUUGUAUGAAAGGUUGGACGAAGUAAAAUCUGUCUCUUUUUAAUAUAAUUAGAAUUUAAUUUUUAAGUAAAAAAGCUUAAAUUUAUAUAAAAGACGAGAAGACCCUAUAGAGUUUAAUAAUUAAUUUUAAUUAAUUAAUUUAGAUUUAUUUAUUUUAUUUUUUAUAUAAUUAUUUUAUUGGGGUAAUAAAAAGAUUAAUAUAAUUCUUUUUUUUAUUUUACAUUGAUAUAUGAUUAAAAUGAUCCAUUUUUAUGAUUAAAAGAUUAAAUUACCUUAGGGAUAACAGCGUAAUUUUUUUAAAGAGUUCUUAUCGAUAAAAAAGUUUGCGACCUCGAUGUUGGAUUAAAGAUUAAUUUAGGUGUAGAAGUUUAAAUUUUUGGUCUGUUCGACCAUUAAAUCUUUACAUGAUCUGAGUUCAAACCGGUGUAAGCCAGGUUGGUUUCUAUCUUUAUAAAAUUUUUAUAUUUUAGUACGAAAGGACCAAAUAUUUAAUAUAUAAAUAUUUAAUUAUUUUGAAUAU
rnacentral:rRNA from 1 species